ACGACCUUAACUUGAACAGGAUCUGUUCAUAGGAUCGUACCUCUGUAUCCUUGAGUUCUAAGGAGACAGGAACCUAAGUAUGAAUCAUGACCUCAUGAUCAGAGCGUGAUUAAUGGCUUGUGAUAUACUGUUGACGUCGAUCAUCAAGCUGUGGAGGAUCGUUCUCAGCUCAUCAUCUGAUGGCUGAGAUGGUUUCAAAAUUUAUAACAUGGU
rnacentral:snoRNA from 1 species